rnacentral:rRNA from 1 species
UGAGGAAUUUUGCGCAAUGGGAGCAAUCCUGACGCAGCAACGCCGCGUGGGUGAUGAAGGCCUUCGGGUUGUAAAGCACUUUUUGGUAGGAUUAGGAAGGAAUGUAAUUCAAGAAUAAGUCUCGGCUAACUACGUGCCAGCAGCCGCGGUAACACGUAGGAGGCAAACGUUAUCCGGAUUUACUGGGCGUAAAGCGCGUGUAGGUGGUUCUGUAAGUAGGGCGUGAAAGCUCAUGGCUCAACUGGGAGAGGCCGUUCUAAACUGCAGAGCUAUAGGAUGGUAGAGGGAGGUGGAAUUCCGGGUGUAGCGGUGGAAUGCGCAGAUAUCCGGAGGAACACCAGUGGCGAAAGCGGCCUCCUGGACCAUUCCUGACACUCAGACGCGAAAGCUGGGGUAGCAAACG